rnacentral:ncRNA from 1 species
UACCUGGUUGAUCCUGCCAGUAGUCAUAUGCUUGUCUCAAAGAUUAAGCCAUGCAAGUCUAAGUACGAGCUCUCGUACAGUGAAACUGCGAAUGGCUCAUUAAAUCAGUUAUGGUUCAUUUGAUCGUACAGUUUACUUGGAUAACUGUGGUAAUUCUAGAGCUAAUACAUGCGAGAAGCGCCGACCUCGCGGGAGGCGUGCAUUUAUCAGACCAAAAACCGGCCGCGUCUUCGGGCGCGUUCGCCUUGGUGACUCUGGAUAACUUUGCGGAUCGCACGGUCUAGCACCGGCGACGGAUCAUUCAAGUGUCUGCCCUAUCAACUUUCGUCGGUACGGUAUUUGCCUACCGAGGUUCUUACGGGUGACGGGGAAUCAGGGUUCGAUUCCGGAGAGGGAGCCUGAGAAACGGCUACCACAUCCAAGGAAGGCAGCAGGCGCGCAAAUUACCCAUUCCCGACGCGGGGAGGUAGUGACGAAAAAUAACAAUGCAGGACUCGUUCGAGGCCCUGUAAUUGGAAUGAGUACACUUUAAAAGCUUUAACGAGUAUCCAUUGAGGGCAAGUCUGGUGCCAGCAGCCGCGGUAAUUCCAGCUCCAAAAGUAUAUAUUUAAGUUGUUGCGGUUAAAAAGCU